AUUGAACGCUGGCGGCAGGCUUAACACAUGCAAGUCGAGCGGAGAGAAGUAGCUUGCUACUGAUCUUAGCGGCGGACGGGUGAGUAAUGCUUAGGAAUCUGCCUGUUAGUGGGGGACAACAUUCCGAAAGGGAUGCUAAUACCGCAUACGCCCUACGGGGGAAAGCAGGGGAUCUUCGGACCUUGCGCUAAUAGAUGAGCCUAAGUCGGAUUAGCUAGUUGGUGGGGUAAAGGCCUACCAAGGCGACGAUCUGUAGCGGGUCUGAGAGGAUGAUCCGCCACACUGGGACUGAGACACGGCCCAGACUCCUACGGGAGGCAGCAGUGGGGAAUAUUGGACAAUGGGCGGAAGCCUGAUCUAGCCAUGCCGCGUGUGUGAAGAAGGCCUUUUGGUUGUAAAGCACUUUAAGCGAGGAGGAGGCUCUUAAGGUUAAUACCCUUGAUGAGUGGACGUUACUCGCAGAAUAAGCACCGGCUAACUCUGUGCCAGCCGCCGCGGUAACAC
rnacentral:rRNA from 1 species